rnacentral:lncRNA from 1 species
GGUCAAUCCAGGCAUGGGCAGGCCACCUGAAGGCCUGAGAACCAGUGGCUCUGUUCGGAAGCCUAAGAAGCUUGCUUGCAAGGAAUCCAGCAGGCUGAGGGUUCGAAUCCCAGCUGCACCGCCCCCAGCUCUGUGACCUUGGCUAUGCCUCUCUGGUAGGUGAAAUCACUGUGCGAUUAGGUUCUUGAGCCUCUUUGUAUCAGAGGAUCACUGCUUCCCCUCUUGUAUCUGGAAUGCAGAACAAGAGGGGUUCUCCCUGGGUCUAGAGGUGGGGUCCAGGGGAACCACCCCAUCUGACUGUCAGGAUGGACAACUGAGUUAUCUUCAUGUUGAUAGAAAUCCUGUGCCUCUGUUUCCUGGGAGCUUGGGGGAGGGGGAUAAACAGACUCCCAAUGUUACCGGAUGCACCUCCUGAAACUUGAGUCAGCAACAACAAUCUCCAACAACAGGAGUGUCAAAUAACAACAAAUUGCAGCUUAGUAAUAAGGAGACCCUUUAUCCAAAGGAUUCCUGCCAGUGAGGGAGAAAGAGACCUUGGCCCCAGGGGCGGGGCCUCUGACCAUGUCCGCCAGCAGCUCAAAGGUCGGGCGUGCGCGCGCGCGCACACACACACACACACACACACACACACGAGGUAAAUACAAAGAAUGUUUUGAGUUAUGUUUAAUAGAAUGGAGUAAAUGCAGGUAGGAAAACUCAGGUGUGAGGACAUGGGUAGAAGGUCGGCCCUGUCUGGAGGAUGUUUUCACAGAAGCUGAAUCCAAGUUAGGCUAAUCACCAUUUUGCUCUGAUUGGACCAAUGGGGACAAGAAGUUCAGUCGACCAUUUUUGAGGCAAAGAAAGGGAAUGUUAAGGGUCUGUGCAUAACAUUGUCUUGUCCUAGGUAAACUAGGGAGCACCCUGAGUCUUCUCUCAGUCCUAGAGGGAAGGGGAGGCAGGCGAAUCUUUGCAAUAAGCUGUUUUCCAGAACACCAAGAGUGGCCUAAGAACACUGCCCUCAUUAAUUGGUUGACUUUGAAGAUGACAAGAAGGUUCCGGUGUGGUGGCGCACGCCUAUAAUCCCAGCAACUGGGGAGACUGAGGCAGAGAGAUCUCAAGUUCAAGGCCAGUGUCAGCGAUUUAGCGAGACCCUGUAUCAAAAAAAAAAAAAAAAAAAAAAAGCCUGUGAAAUGUAAGAAUAAACAGAAAGCAGUCAUUAAUCUUUUUUCUAGUAACUAUUAACAUCUGGCAGUCACUCUGGGCACAGCUGAUUGUCCUUGUCCUUGUAGUAUAGUGAGGCACCAGCUGGGUACACAGGAGGAAAAAAUAUCUUUUUCUCUUAUCUCUUUGAAUUCUCCCCCAGACUCCCUGGCACACACACACACACACACACACACACACACACACAAAAUCCUAUCCACUGGAGAAAAGCAUAUAAAUGUAAUUAAUGUGGGUUUUACAUGACACAGGGCCUUUCACAAGGAAAUGAAGAAAAAGUUAAACCGGAGUGUUUCUAUUCUAGGUUUGGUGAACGAUGGUGUAGUUGUGGGAAAUGGGGCUGGACAAGAGGUAGAGCCAACCCUUGUUAACUGAGGACUCAGCAAGGCUGUGUGCCAGAUUCUCCCCCUCUUCCCUCGGUCUUUAGAUACAGGGAUAGGGGUGGGGCUCACAUGAUGGUCUAUGACCUGCUUCCGGUGGGGGGAGAUGAGGGUCCUCCCUGCACCCUCUGUGCCUCAAAUUUUCUUCCACUUAGAAUAUGCAACGUGCCAAGGUGCCUCACACGAGACUCGGGCUGUGUUCAGCAUUCUGAUUGUUGACUGAAUGGGUGAGGGUGAACCCUGAGACCAAAGUGGGUGUGAUGUGGACUGUGCUAUAGUUUGGAUGCUGAGUAUCACCAAAAGCCCGAUUUAAAAGGUCUGUCUACCCUUGGUUCCCCGAGGAGGUGCUAAGAGCUUUAGGAGGAGGGGCCUAGGGAAGUUCAUUAGGUCACUGGGGACAUGACCUCAAAAGGGAUUGUGGGACCCCCAUCUCUUCUUCUUUUGCUUCCCAGGCAUGAGAUGAGCAGUUUGUGCUGCUAGGUCUCAGACAGUUCAUUAUAGUGAUGGGAAACCAGCCUAGACCUCAUGGGUCAUGACGAAGGAGUGAACAGUGUGGUAAGACCAAAGGGGCGGGGAGUGGGACCUGAAUGACAGGGGAGUUGGGAUUUGUGCUGAAGGUUCUAGAGAGUCCUUGAGAAUCAGCCUGGGAAACAUUCCAGUGGAAGAGCCAGGCCAGGGAUUGUGGUUCCUGUCUGACAGUGUCCUGUGCUCUGGGACCUGGGAAUGGGGGACCAGGCUUUGGUCUUCCUCUUCGAAGAGCUUAUAGCACCCCCUGGUGACCAUUCCUGGGAAUGCACCAGGGAUUGGGGAAUGACUGGAAGAAAAUGCAAAGAUGAGGUUUCCCCAGAUGGGCAAGGUUCCAGCUCAGAGGACAGUCCUGCGGGAGGAAACCUGGGUCCAGUUCUGGACAGGGAAGAUGGGCAAAGUCAAGGAGAGAACUAGACAUAGGCAUCUGGAGCCCAGAAUGUGGUCUGACCUGGAGACCAAGACUAAGGGCCAUUUAAAGGGAACAUGAACUGUGGGGCCCUGUGGGGCUUUUUGCAAGGAGAAUCUCCCACCAUCUGAAGCACAGAAUUAAGCUGGGCUUGUGCAUUUCCCAAGUUUCUAUUCAAAGGUCAAGCCAGAGAAGGUGGAAACCGCCCUCACCCUCACCGGGCUUCUGCAACCUCUUGUGUUGCAAACGGGAAGACGGUGAAGGACACAUGGCCAGUUGGCCCCACCCAAGGCCCCACUAGAGCUGCCCUGCCCACCUGGGUCCUCCCUCACCUUCUGCCAUCUUGAAAGUCCUGCUUCCACUGAGACGUCCCCUUGCUGGAGCCUGGGCCCCAGCACCUGCUGCUAUCUGAGGGUCCCAGCCCAUCACUCCCAGAGGCCACCAUGUGCCCUGUGCAGCAGUCACACAGGUCCACAUGCCCCCCCACACAGGGGCAUGCACACAUGUGCAGUACACAGAGAAGAAGAGCAAACACAAGGUGGUCAGUAGAGGCAACCCGGCCUAAGGGGGGGAGGGGGGGACAGCAGCCAACUAGAGCCAAAGUGAUGGCCGUGGAACCCAGUGGUCAAUGCAUCCUGGAUCUCUAAAGGCCUCCCCAGGCCUAGAUGUAUCCCCAGGGCAGAUACUUCAGUCCAUUUUCUGUCACUGACAACAGAAUACCACAGACCAGGUUGUUAUAAUAAAGAAAAGAGUUUUUAUUGGGGCUCCUGGAUCUGGUCCAAGGUCCAGAGGCCACACGUGGGGAAUGGCUUCUUGCGGGCAGAGUUCCAAGGUGGUGAGAGACAGGACCUUGAAAGAGACCCAGGAAAACUGGCUUUACAGCAGAUGUGCUCUGGCCAUCACCCAUUAACCCGUGAACCCAGGAAUCGGGAAGCUGCAUGAAUGACUGAUCCACUCACGAGAAGAGACCUCGUGGCAUCUUGAUGUCUCACCACUAGGAUCAAAUGUCAACAUGAGUUCCCAGAGGGAGGAGCACAUUGAAGGCAUAGCAGGAGCGAAGGCCCUGGUUAGCAGGCGAGGGGACUGCCCGGGCCUGGUGAGGGCCCCAGCAGGGCUUUCCCACACCUGAGCUGCAGUGUCCCUGAUACCUGGAACACGGCAGGUCAGAAAGAUGUGCCCAGAGCGAGGCGUUCCCUUGGGAACUUCCCUUCCAACAAUGUGCUCACCCCAGGAGCCCGCCAGGGUGAGGGGACUGUGUGAGUCCAGCUGGGAUCUUGAAGAGGUCGGGGAGGACAGUUGAGCUCAGGGACAGGGUUGGCCGUUCUCUCUGAUCUCCACUCUCACUUGUCCCUGCAGAAUCUAACACUUUUGGUUUCUAUGAUGGCCAUUUGCCAUGGGCAGCAAGCAGGGAAAGGAGGAGAAUGUAUGCUGAAUUGGGUGGAUUGUGGCGGGCUGUGGAUACUUCUAAAAUGUUCUCUGGGUGCUUGGAAAAAUGCAUGUGUUUGUUCACUCUCCUCCCCCUCCUCCUCCCUCUCCUCCUCCUCCUCCUUCUCUUCCUCCUCCUCCUCCUCCUCCUCCUCCUCCUCUUCCUUCUUCCAGUACUGGGGAUUGAACCCAAAGGUGCUCUACCACGGAGCUACACCCCCAGCCCUUUUUAUUUAUUUAUUUAUUUUGAGUCAAGGUCUAGCUAAGUUGCCCAGGCUGGACUUGAACUUGUGAUCCUCCUGCCUCAGCUCCCCAAAUUGCUGGGAUUACAGGCAUUCCCCACCCUGCUUGGCAUUUUUAAUGGAGGAGAAAUUUGCAUAACACGCAACACUACUAUUUGAAAGUGAACGAUUCAGUAGCAUUUAGUGCACUCAGCGUGUGCACACGUGUGCACACCCACCACUGUCUGGUCCCACACCUGGUUCCUCAAACACAGCAUCCUCAGGAGGCAGCCACUCAGUGUUCUGCAGUCCCCAAUCCAGUCCUCUGGCAACCACCAGCCUGAAUCCAGUCUGUAUGGCUUUGCCUCUUCUGGACAUUUCAUAUAAAUGGAAUCAUGGAAUGCCUGACCUUUUGUGACUGGCCUCUUUUUCUUAGCAUCAUGUUUGAGGCUCAUUCUUGUUGUAGCAUGUGUCUUGCCUUCUUUCCUUUUCAUGGCUAAAUAAUUUUUCUUUGUGUGAAAUCCAUUCUUCAGUUAAUGGACAUUUGGUUGUGUCAGUGCUUUGGCUAUUGUGAAUACUGCUGCUAUGAACAUUCAUGAACAAGUAUCUGUUUUACUCCCCAUUUUCAGUUCUUUAAGCAUAGAUAUCUAUCAGUGAAAUGGCCAGGUGCGUUAAUUGUGUUCAACUUUCCAAGGAUUCGCCAUAUUGUAUUCCAUAGCAGCUACACUAUGCUACAUUCCUGCCAGCACUGAUCAAGGGGUUUCUCUUCAUCCACAUCCUCACCAAGACUUGUUUUUUUCUGGGUGUUUUUUGUUGUUUGUGGUUGUUUAUUAUAGUCAUCCCAGAGGGUACAGAAAUGAUAUCUCGUGUGGUUUUGAUUCCAUCUCCUUAAUGAUCAAUGACAUGAAGCAGCUUUUCACACACUUAUUGGCCAGAUAUGCAUCUUCUUUGUAGAAAAGUCUACUCAAGCUCUUUGCCCAUUUAGUUGUGAAGUUGUCCAAAUGCACAUUGUUUUUGUUUGUUUGUUUUGGUACCGGGGAUUGAACUCAGGGGCCCCACAAUCACUAAGCCACCUCCCCAGCCCUAUUUCAUAUUUUUAUUUAGAGACAGGGUCUCACUGAGUUGCUUAGCACCUUUUUUGCUGAGGCUGGCUUUGAACUCACCAUCCUCCUGCCUUGGCCUCCCCAGCUGCUGGGAUUACGGACUCCUUUAUAUACAUCAUUUAAUGCGAAGAAACUGAAGUUCAGACAGAUUGACUGUCCCAAGGUCACAGAGUCAGGCUACAAUUCAGAUCCCCACUGGCUCACCCCACUCCCCACCUCUGCUGAGAGCAGAUUAUUUUGAGGCUGGGGCCGUUGGCUUGUGCUGACCUGUGGAGGCCUCAGAAAAGCUACAGGGCAAGAAAAAGAAGCAGAACAAAGGGACUUUUUUUUUUUUUUUUGGCAGUGCGAACCCGGAGCCUCACACAUGCUAGGCAAGUGCUCUGCCACUGAGCCACAUCCCCUGCCAAGAGAGCUCUUCUUCUUGAAAGACCUCCCAAGGACCAGAGUCCCCAAAAUACCUGUCCUGGAAGGACUAAAUAUUGCAAAAGCUGCUUGCCAGGUUGGCUGUUUUGCCUUUGUGAAUGUGAGUAUGUGUGUGCAUGUGGCGUGUAUGUGAGUGUUCAUGCAUGUGAGCAGGUGUGUGCACACGUGUGCAGGUACUGCAGCUGCCAGGAUGGGGCGCUCUUCUUCCCCAUGUGGACUUGGCCCAGGCUGUGCCAGAGACUGCCAGGAGGCAUGGCUGGGCAGGGGCUGCCACCUGCUGGACACACUAGGUACUGCAGGAAGGUAGACCCUGGGACACGGAGCCUGUUCUCCUGGGUCCUUUAUUCUUUCCUCUGUCCUGCAGAAAACAGCGUCCCCCACCACCCCUAGUACCCACAUAGGUCUCUCUAGGGAACAGCUGCUAGGACUUCAGAACCUUGGCAUUGUGAACCCCUUAAGUCUGGUCAAGUGGGCUUAGAAUAACAUUUUCAAAAGCAUAUGAUAUAAAAUAAUAGGAUGUCAAAGGAAAGCCAUUAUACUGAAAUACAGUUAUCCAAAUGGUCACAGUAAUAUAUGUCAUCCUUUAAAUAGAGCCCAGAAGCAGGUCCAAUAAGCCAUCAUUUUAAAACCAUGAUCAAUGUAAAUGAUAUAUUCUUAAAUAUUUUUGUAGUUGUAGAUGGACCCAAUACCUUUAUUUGUUUAUUUUUAUGUGGUUUCUGGGAUGGAGCCCAGGGCCUCACACAUGCUAGGCAAGCGCUCUACCACUGAGCCAUAACCUGGGCCUGUAAAUGGUAUUUUUGAGAGAUCGGCAUUAUUGGAACAUGUUGUAGAAAAUAUUUGUGAUUUAUGAGAUCACAAAGUCACAGAUACUACUAACAGCACUGUCAUCUGGGGGCCUAGAUUUGUGAUGGGAAGACAUACCAUGAUUCCGCAUGCCUGGAAUCCCAGCGGCUUUGGGGGCCGAGGCGGGAGGAUCUCAAGUUCAAAGCCUGCCUCAGCAAAAACAAGGCACUAAGUAACUCAGUGAGACCCUGUCUCUAAGUUAAAUACAAAACAGGGCUGGGGGAUGUGGCUCAGUAGCCAAGUGCCUCUGAAUUCAAUGCCCAGUACCCCCCCCCCCCAAAAAAAAGUUUAUAACAAUAAAUAUGUAAUUUCUCCCUCCAAGUUUGUGAAUUCUCUCCAAGGAUUCGCAUCUAAGGUUAAGAGCCUACGGCCCAGACCCUGCCUGGUGGCCCCAACACCUCCUCAGCCCCUUGCUCAGGAGCCAAGCAGGUCACAGCCCAGUUUGAUCCUCCAGCACAGCCCCCCGCCCUGUCUCCCACCUCCACACUCUGACCUGCCCUCAAUGUGGAGCCCAGAGGCAUUGCCUUGAGGUCCACCCAGCAGCCUUCUGCUCUGAAAAUGGACAAGCCCAUCUGAGAUACCAUCGUGCUGCCCUGUAUCUCCUUCAGACAGACAACGGCGCCUCUCUCCAGGACACAGGCGGGGAGGCCUCUGUGUCCUCGUACCUGGACAUCACCACCUGGCCCAAACCUCGUCCUUCUGUACAACCUAAGGAGACAUCAAGUCCUUUUCUUUGAGUCUUUUAUUUCCUAAAUCCCAGACAUUAUGAGGUUACAACAUAAGUUUCAGGGAGUAGCCCCUUCCUGCCCUGUCACCAAAAUUUAAUGAGCACUUACUAUGUGUUCGGUAUCAUUCUAGGUGUUGGAAAUAGAAAUAAUAAACAGAGAAGGCAAUUUUCUCUCCUUCUUGGAGCUUAUAGUCUAUGGAGAAAGAGAUUGAAUAAGUAAGUUAAAUGAGUAGAACGUAAAGCAGAUGAUAAAAGCUAUGGAGGCAGGUAGAACAGGGAGGUGGGCGGUUGACCUCACAGACUGGGGAAUGUGUGAAGGAGGGGGAGGGAGCACUGUGCGUCUCUAGGGAAAAGCAUCCCACCCGGGGAAUGGACAAGGUGUAGGGGUGAAGUCAGUGAGGUCACAGUACAGGAUGUGCAGGCCUUGGGGACCACAGGAAGUACAUCGGCUUUACUCUAAGAUGGGAGGUUGGGGGCAAAGGAGGAUAUGGCUCUGGUGCCACCUCCUUCUUUAUUAAAAGAAUUUAAACUAACAUGUAAUGGUGUGUAUUUAUGGGAUACAGUGUGAUAUUUCAAUUAUUCCACCAUGUGCAAUACUCAGAGCAGGGUAAUCUGCUCACAUAUUUUUUUUUUUAAUUUCCUUAUAGUGAGAGCAUCUGCAACCCUCUCUUCCAGCGAGGUUGAAAUACACAGGGCAUUGUUCUUCAGGACCUUCACUGUACCAGGCAAAGGAACACGAGAACUUUGUGCAUGUCACUGACCUCCCCCAUCCUUGGUAACCAAAACCAAAACCAAUGAUGAUGUGCUGCAGUUUUGAGGACAGACUUAGCAUUGGACAAGGGGCACGUGGCCCCUAAUGGAAGGGUGGAGGCUCCACCAGGGAUAGGCAGUGGUGGUGGGGGUGGGGGGAGAAGUGGCUGGGUUCUGGGUUUCAUCUGAAGAAUUUCCUCUUGGAUAGAUAUAGCGGGUGUGAGAUACCCAAAGGGACAUAAGAGAGUAUGUUCAUUUCCCAUGGCUGAGGUAACAAAGUGCCUUAAAUUGCGUGGCUCAUUACAGAAGUGUAUUCUCUGACAGCUCAGGUGGCUGGAAAUCUGAGAUCCAGGUGUCAGCGAGGACAGUUCCCUCUGGAAGGCCACAUGUUCUGGCCUCUCUGGCUCCUGGGGGUUCUGCCAGUGCUUAGCAUCCCUUGGCUUGUAGAUGCACCACUCCAAUCUCUGUUUCCAUGGUUACCCUGCAACCUUAGAGUUGGUCUCUGUGGUUACAUAGCUCUUCUCCCUACCCAUGAAUCUGGAUCUGAACACAUUUCUCUCUUAAGGACUCUGGUCAUUGGAGAAGGGCCCACCCCAGUCUGGAAUGAACUCAACCUAACUUGGCUAAGGCCAUUUUUCCAUACAAGGUCAUAUAUACUGGUUCCAGGUGGACAUGGAUUUGGCAGGGACACUGUUCAAAGCAGUCCAUGUGUGUUUGUCUACAUUUUCAUGGAAAUGCAUUUUAAUCAUAUCAGGCUUGAGAACUCUCCCAAGAUGCCCCAUCUUGUCCAGGGGGUUGAGAGGGGACUCUACUGAGCCUUUGCAAGGCUCCUAAAAGAAAGAUUUUAUUUAUUUAUUUAUUUAUUUUUGUAUCAGGGAUUGAACCCAGCAGUGCUUAGCCACGGAGCCACAUCCCUAGCCCCUUUUUAUUUUUUAUUUAUUUUUAUUUUGAGACAGGUUCUCACUAAGUUGAUUAGGGCCUGGCUAAGUUGCUGAGGCUGGCUUUGAACUUGCAAUCCUCCUGCCUCAGCCUCCCAAACCAUUGGGAUUACGGAGGUGUGCCAACACACCUGGCGGAAAAUAUGAUUUUUAUUAGUUUGGGCAAAAUUGUAUCAUUUGGGGCUGGACAUGGAGCUCAGUGGUUACCAUGUUCAUGUCCUGGGUGCCACAUCCAGCACUGAAGAAAAAAUAAAAAUCAAUGGAUACGCUCUUGAUGGAACUUGGUCGUGGGAACUCAGUCUCUCUCAUCAGAGAUAAAUCAGGUCCCUCCUGGGACUGCAGGGUGAUAGGAAUAGAUGCUCCAGUCCCUCCUGUCCUCCAGGCCUGUCAUCCGGGGGUGUGGUGUGGGAGGAGAGCUGAUAUAGGAUUGUAAUUCUGCUAAUGAG